rnacentral:lncRNA from 1 species
AAAGUAGGAGGUAAAUCAUAUAUUCCAUCCAUUUAAAAAUUUAUAUAAUUUUAAAUUUUAAUAGUAAAAAAUUAAGGUGUUUUAUGACUAGUGCGAUAAUAUUGACAUUCGGAUAGUUGGAGUAUAAAAUUAUUUGCUUUUGAAUGUACAGAUAGCACUAGCAACAUACUCGCGCUUUGCAACGGAUGUGAUUUUUAAGUUCAUAAUUAUUAUAUUAUAUUAUACAUUAUGUAAAGUCACUUAAUAGAGUUAAAUAAAAAUACUAAUUUUUAUAUAUAUUUCUUAUUUGGAGAGAGAGAAGAGAACAAUUAAGUAAAAAUUAAAGUCUGAGAAAGAGAGCGCACUUUCAAACUUUCAAAUAUAGUAUAUUUUAUUCAUAAUUUAGAAAAAUAAAAAUUAAAGAAUUUUAAAAAUGUAUAAUUACUAAAUUAAAGUUUAAAAUUAUUUUAACUAUUCAAAUCUUUUGUUUGGAGAAAGAGAGAAAAAAGAGCAUUAAAUUAAAAAUUAAAUUGAGGGAAAGAGAAAAGCAGCAUGCAUAUUUCUCAAUGAGAGAGGAAAUGAGAAAAUAAAAGGUAUAAAUAUUAAAUUAAAUAAAGAUUAAGUAAGAGAGAGUACACACUCCAUGAAAGUGAGAAAGAUAUGAAGAAGAUACUGUGUUACAUUAAGAGAUUAUUUUUUUAGUAGACCCAAUUGAAAUAGAACAGAUUCAUGAUCUACACUGCACA